CAGUCGCCACGGUAAGACGUAGGAUGCAAGCGUUGUCCGGAUUUAUUGGGCGUAAAGAGUUCGUAGGCGGUUCGUUAAGUCUGAUGUUAAAGAUCAGGGCUCAACCCUGAGAGUGCAUUGGAUACUGGCGGACUGGAGUGUGGUAGAGGCUAGUGGAAUUCCCAGUGUAGCGGUGAAAUGCGUAGAUAUUGGGAAGAACACCGGUGGCGUAGGCGACUAGCUGGGCCAUAACUGACGCUGAGGAACGAAAGCCAGGGGAGCGAAUGGGAUUAGAUACCCCUGUAGUCCCUGUCUCUUAUAC
rnacentral:rRNA from 1 species